UCCAACAGUGCGGUCGCCUGGGCUCUC
rnacentral:piRNA from 1 species